GGGAUGGCGUGGGUGGCGCGUAUGCAAGGCGCGGGCGUCGCGGCGGCGUCUCGGCGGAGACGAAGCUGGCAGGUGGGGCCCACCUGUCAGUGGCUGCGGUCGGGCGGGCGGCUCGGCCGGUCGGGCUAAGCGGGCCAGCCUAGUGGGUCGGUCCGUUUCCUUUUUUUUCUUUUUCUUUUUCCUUUUUGUUUUUCUGUUUUUCCUUUGUAUCUUUUAAUUUUGUAAAAUCAUGUUUUAUCAUAAUUCAACUUUUGGGACUAUUUUCCCUUCCAAAUAAAAUAUAUAAAAAUAGAUUUGCCCCAUAAAUGCUUUUAGGGCUAUAUAACUAUUUAAAUAAAAUAGUUUUUCAACUCCAAUAAAUACUAAAAAAUUAUGGGGUAGCUUAUUUAUGCAAUAAACCCCUUUUAUAGUCAAACCCUAAUGGUUUAAAGAUCUAAAGUCCAAAUGGGUGAAAUCCUAGGAUUUAAAAUGAAAUAAAACCUUUUUGGAAUUCAAAUUUGAUUCAAAUAUGCAAUUGUGACAUGAUGCUCAUGAAUGCAAUGCAUAUGAAAAAGGUUUGAAAAUUUGGGAUGUUACAGGGCUCAACAAAAGAGACAAAAGCAUGAUGUUCACAAAAGUUAGCUAAUUGUCUACGAGUAGUUACCCCUUUCCUCACACUACCUAGGACAUUGUCCAAGGUAUGUUCUUGACGUUGAAGUCUUGAGGCAAUCUUCAUGGCCCGACGUUCCAUAGCUUCUUGAGAUUGAUCUUAAGGCUCAAUGGAAGCUUGAACAUCUUGAAGAUCUUGAUUUUGAACAUCAUUUGGUGAAGAAUCACCAACAUCCACAUUAGCUUGAUUUUGUCCUUGAUCAACUUGUUCAUCAACAUGAAGGACUUGUUCUUGUUCUUGGUUAGCUUGUGGAUCUUGUGGAGAUGAGGGCUCCACUUGAGUAGAGCAUUGUCCUUCUCCUUCUUUCAUACGGGAAUCCUCAACGAGCAUAAUUUGACCUAUGCCCAUUCUUCGUAUGGCUUGGUGAGCAAUUUCAUCAUCUACAUCCACAACAUCAACUUGCCUCACAUGGGAGCCAUUAUUCUCAUCAAACUCCACAUUACAAGAUUUUUCAACACAUCCGGU
rnacentral:lncRNA from 1 species